rnacentral:rRNA from 1 species
CGUCAGCUCGUGUCGUGAGAUGUUGGGUUAAGUCCCGCAACGAGCGCAACCCCUGCCUUCUGUAGCCAGCAUUCAGGAUGGGAACUCAGGAGGGACUGCCCGGGAGAACCGGGAGGAAGGCGGGGAUGACGUCAAAUCAUCAUGCCCCUUAUGGCCUGGGCUACACACGUGCUACAAUGGCGUAAACAAAGGGAAGCGGGCCUGCGAGGGUAAGCGAAUCCCAAAAAUAACGUCCCAGUUCGGAUUGCAGUCUGCAACUCGAGUGCAUGAAGCUGGAAUCGCUAGUAAUCGCGGAUCAGAAUGCCGCGGUGAAUACGUUCCCGGGUCUUGUACACACCGCCCGUCACACCAUGGGAGUCGGGAAUGCCCGAAGCCGGUGGCCCGAUCGAAAGAAGGGAGCCGUCGAAGGCAGGCCGGAUGACUGGGGUGAAGUCGUAACAAGGUAGCCGUAUCGGAAGGUGCGGCUGGAUCACCUC